rnacentral:rRNA from 1 species
CCUAUAAGACUGGGAUAACUUCGGGAAACCGGGGCUAAUACCGGAUAAUAUAUUGAACCGCAUGGUUCAAUGUUGAAAGACGGUUUCGGCUGUCACUUAUAGAUGGACCCGCGCCGUAUUAGCUAGUUGGUAAGGUAACGGCUUACCAAGGCAACGAUACGUAGCCGACCUGAGAGGGUGAUCGGCCACACUGGAACUGAGACACGGUCCAGACUCCUACGGGAGGCAGCAGUAGGGAAUCUUCCGCAAUGGGCGAAAGCCUGACGGAGCAACGCCGCGUGAGUGAUGAAGGUCUUAGGAUCGUAAAACUCUGUUGUUAGGGAAGAACAAAUUUGUUAGUAACUGAACAAGUCUUGACGGUACCUAAUCAGGAAGCCACGGCUAACUACGUGCCAGCAGCCGCGGUAAUACGUAGGUGGCAAGCGUUAUCCGGAAUUAUUGGGCGUAAAGCGCGCGUAGGCGGUUUCUUAAGUCUGAUGUGAAAGCCCACGGCUCAACCGUGGAGGGUCAUUGGAAACUGGGAAACUUGAGUGCAGAAGAGGAAAGUGGAAUUCCAUGUGUAGCGGUGAAAUGCGCAGAGAUAUGGAGGAACACCAGUGGCGAAGGCGACUUUCUGGUCUGUAACUGACGCUGAUGUGCGAAAGCGUGGGGAUCAAACAGGAUUAGAUACCCUGGUAGUCCACGCCGUAAACGAUGAGUGCUAAGUGUUAGGGGGUUUCCGCCCCUUAGUGCUGCAGCUAACGCAUUAAGCACUCCGCCUGGGGAGUACGACCGCAAGGUUGAAACUCAA